GCUUGUAUUCCCCGGACAAAUACUAUAGGCCAAGUGAAGAUUUCACGCCUCACGAAUUUCAUAUUCUUCCCUUGUGAAAGCUGUUCCCUUGCCGAGAACUGAAAGUAAUGUUAGCUUUCAAA